GUGGAUUAGAUACCCUGGUAGUCCACGCCCUAAACGAUGUCAACUGGUUGUUGGGGAAGGCAACUUCCUUAGUAACGAAGCUAACGCGUGAAGUUGACCGCCUGGGGAGUACGGCCGCAAGGUUAAAACUCAAAGGAAUUGACGGGGACCCGCACAAGCGGUGGAUGAUGUGGAUUAAUUCGAUGCAACGCGAAGAACCUUACCUACCCUUGACAUGUACGGAAGCUGGGUGAGAGCUCAGUGUGCCCGAAAGGGAGCCGUAACACAGGUGCUGCACGGCUGUCGUCAACU
rnacentral:rRNA from 1 species